ensembl:lincRNA
CUUCUUAAAGCUCUAGCCAGUGGGAAAGCGUUUGUGUUUCUAUCCUUGGAGCUCCAAGUGGGACUUCUUAAAAGAUUUAGAAGGAGCAAAGCUGUCAGGAAAUCAGAAACGUCACAUGGACUCCAUGACUGGGAAAAACCUCGUGGUGGCCUGCUCUCAGUGCUUGGAUGUGUGCUAGUUACAUCUCGGAGGUCUGAUUUUCUUAACUCGACUACGAUAAGAAGAUGCCCUCCAUCAGCAGGCCGUGCUUGCUCGUGGGCCUCUCUGGAGACUUCCUGAACCCUGUGGAUUUACAGUAAGAUGCAGUUUCCUGGGGAGUAAUUCUGGUGGAUACAAAUUCCAGAGUAGUACACCUGGCUUGCCUGGAGAUGUUACAAGUAGCUGGAUGGAUUCUUCAGCCUGGAUGCCCACUGAAAACAAGGACCGAAACUGAGAGGAUUGUAUCUCUACCCUUGACUCAAUGAGAAUAUUUGCUGUCAUCUCUCGGGCUACCUGGAGCUCCCUCUAAAAUUAUACCCUUUAAGCGUUCCAGAAGGAUUUUGAGAUCCUUUCCUAAAUCAAAGGUGGAAUAUUUGGGGAUUUGGAAAAUUGAGAUGAGAAGCGUUGACUUAAGAGAUGCCAAGUAACUCAGCAGAUGUCACACAGACGAUAAAUAGCAAAGAUGGAAGUCUUCAUGCCGGAGGCAAUCCUAUAAGACAGCUGAGCUCUGCAGAGCUGGUAGGAGACAGACUUGCUCAGGUGAUAGAUCCAGCCAUGAUAUUGACCCUAAGAGAAUGAGACACACUGCAGAAGACAGAAGAUUCCUGAAACUGGGAAAGGUGCCUAGAAAUCCUGAGAAGAGUGACGAAGUAGCUGGCAGAGCAGCCUUCCUCCGCACUAUGAAAGACAUCCAACAGAGAGCUAGUUCCCACCUCACUUCCAGCUUGACUCCUCUUUAUCUCCUAACUGCGUGCGGUCUGUGAUGUCUUCAGCAGUGGUAUUAACUAGUUCUGGGUACCUGGAGGCACAGCAGCCAUGUUGAACCUAUGAGGUGAUGAAAAACCAUGCAACUAGAAACC